GCCUGGGUGGCUUAGUUGGUUAAGCAUCAGACUUUGGCUCAGGUCAUGAUCUCACGGGUUUGUGGGUUUGAGCCCGACCUUGGGCU
rnacentral:tRNA from 1 species